rnacentral:lncRNA from 1 species
AUGACAUUAUCUAAAGAAUACUCAUGUGUUAAAGUAAUAAAUACAGAAACCAAACGCUACAAUAAAUUAUGAUCUAAAACUUUUUGAAACUUGUCCGUCAAUCUCAUUUUUUUUAAAUGUCAUAAGUAUUAGUUAUGAAUUCAGAGGCGGAGCUAGAAUUUAUGCUUAGGAAGUUCAAAAUCUGAAGAAAAAAUCCACCAAAAGGUAUUCAACAU